rnacentral:rRNA from 1 species
AUGACGCUGGCGGCAGGCCUAACACAUGCAAGUNNAGCGGUAGAGAAGAAGCUUGCUUCUCUUGAGAGCGGCGGACGGGUGAGUAAUGCCUAGGAAUCUGCCUGGUAGUGGGGGAUAACGUUCGGAAACGGACGCUAAUACCGCAUACGUCCUACGGGAGAAAGCAGGGGACCUUCGGGCCUUGCGCUAUCAGAUGAGCCUAGGUCGGAUUAGCUAGUUGGUGAGGUAAUGGCUCACCAAGGCGACGAUCCGUAACUGGUCUGAGAGGAUGAUCAGUCACACUGGAACUGAGACACGGUCCAGACUCCUACGGGAGGCAGCAGUGGGGAAUAUUGGACAAUGGGCGAAAGCCUGAUCCAGCCAUGCCGCGUGUGUGAAGAAGGUCUUCGGAUUGUAAAGCACUUUAAGUUGGGAGGAAGGGCAGUAAAUUAAUACUUUGCUGUUUUGACGUUACCGACAGAAUAAGCACCGGCUAACUCUGUGCCAGCAGCCGCGGUAAUACAGAGGGUGCAAGCGUUAAUCGGAAUUACUGGGCGUAAAGCGCGCGUAGGUGGUUUGUUAAGUUGGAUGUGAAAUCCCCGGGCUCAACCUGGGAACUGCAUUCAAAACUGACUGACUAGAGUAUGGUAGAGGGUGGUGGAAUUUCCUGUGUAGCGGUGAAAUGCGUAGAUAUAGGAAGGAACACCAGUGGCGAAGGCGACCACCUGGGACUAAUACUGACACUGAGGUGCGAAAGCGUGGGGAGCAAACAGGAUUAGAUACCCUGGUAGUCCACGCCGUAAACGAUGUCAACUAGCCGUUGGAAGCCUUGGAGCUUUUAGUGGCGCAGCUAACGCAUUAAGUUGACCGCCUGG